UACGUAGGGUGCAAGCGUUACUCGGAAUCACUGGGCGUAAAGCGCACGUAGGCGGACUCGUAGGUCAAUUGUGAAAUACCUGGGCUCAACCCGGGAACUGCAGUUGAAACCGCUUGUCUUGAAUACCUGAGAGGGUGGGGGAAUACCUGGUGGAGAAGUGAAAUUCGUAGAGAUCAGGUGGAACACCGGGAGGCGAAGGCGCCUGCCUGGCAGUGUAUUGACGCUGAGGUGCGAAAGUGCGGGGAGCAAACAGG
rnacentral:rRNA from 1 species